GAUGAACGCUGGCGGCGUGCCUAAUACAUGCAAGUCGAGCGAACAGAUAAGGAGCUUGCUCCUUUGACGUUAGCGGCGGACGGGUGAGUAACACGUGGGUAACCUACCUAUAAGACUGGAAUAACUCCGGGAAACCGGGGCUAAUGCCGGAUAACAUUUAGAACCGCAUGGUUCUAAAGUGAAAGAUGGUUUUGCUAUCACUUAUAUAUGGACCCGCGCCGUAUUAGCUAGUUGGUAAGGUAACGGCUUACCAAGGCAACGAUACGUAGCCGACCUGAGAGGGUGAUCGGCCACACUGGAACUGAGACACGGUCCAGACUCCUACGGGAGGCAGCAGUAGGGAAUCUUCCGCAAUGGGCGAAAGCCUGACGGAGCAACGCCGCGUGAGUGAUGAAGGUCUUCGGAUCGUAAAACUCUGUUAUUAGGGAAGAACAAAUGUGUAAGUAACUGUGCACGUCUUGACGGUACCUAAUCAGAAAGCCACGGCUAACUACGUG
rnacentral:rRNA from 1 species